CAGGGAUUGCCCUAGUAACGGCGAGUGAAGCGGCAACAGCUCAAAUUUGAAAUCUGGCCCUUUCAGGGUCCGAGUUGUAAUUUGUAGAGGGUGCUUUGGCGUUGGCUGUGGUCUAAGUUCCUUGGAACAGGACGUCGCAGAGGGUGAGAAUCCCGUAUGUGGCCGCCAGUCUUCGCCGUGUAAAGCCCCUUCGACGAGUCGAGUUGUUUGGGAAUGCAGCUCUAAAUGGGAGGUAAAUUUCUUCUAAAGCUAAAUAUUGGCCAGAGACCGAUAGCGCACAAGUAGAGUGAUCGAAAGAUGAAAAGCACUUUGGAAAGAGAGUCAAAAAGCACGUGAAAUUGUUGAAAGGGAAGCGCUUGCAGCCAGACUUGCCUGUAGUUGCUCAUCCGGGCUUUUGCCCGGUGCACUCUUCUAUGGGCAGGCCAGCAUCAGUCCCAGCGGUUGGAUAAAUGCCUGUUGAAUGUACCUCUCUUCGGGGAGGACUUAUAGCUUCGGGCGGCAUACAACCAGCCGGGAUUGAGGUCCGCGCAUCUGCUAGGAUGCUGGCGUAAUGGCUGUAAGCGGCCCGUCUUGAAACACGGACCAAGGAGUCUAACAUCUAUGCGAGUGUUUGGGUGUCAAGCCCGAGCGCGUAAUGAAAGUGAACGGAGGUGGGAACCCCUCGGGGCGCACCAUCGACCGAUCCUGAUGUCUUCGGAUGGAUUUGAGUAAGAGCAUAGCUGUUGGGACCCGAAAGAUGGUGAACUAUGCCUGAAUAGGGUGAAGCCAGAGGAAACUCUGGUGGAGGCUCGCAGCGGUUCUGACGUGCAAAUCGAUCGUCAAAUUUGGGCAUAGGGGCGAAAGACUAAU
rnacentral:rRNA from 1 species